CACGCCCUAAACGAUGGAUACUCGAUAUUGGGCUUUUCAGCUCAGUGUCUUAGCAAAAGCGUUAAGUAUCCCACCUGGGAAGUACGAUCGCAAGGUUGAAACUCAAAGGAAUUGACGGGGGCCCGCACAAGCGGUGGAGCAUGUGGUUUAAUUCGAUGGUACGCGAGGAACCUUACCUGGGCUAGAAUGCGCGUGACCGGGGCAGAAAAGUCCCUUUCGCAAGACACAAAGCAAGGUGC
rnacentral:rRNA from 1 species